rnacentral:rRNA from 1 species
AAGCAUAUCAAUAAGCGGAGGAAAAGAAACCAACUGGGAUUGCCUUAGUAACGGCGAGUGAAGCGGCAAUAGCUCAAAUUUGAAAGCUGGCUCCUUUGGAGUCCGCGUUGUAAUUUGUAGAGGAUGCUUCGGCAAGGGCUCCCGUCUAAGUCCCCUGGAACGGGGCGUCACAGAGGGUGAGAAUCCCGUAUGUGAUGGGUUGCCUAAGCCAUGUGAAGCUCCUUCGACGAGUCGAGUUGUUUGGGAAUGCAGCUCUAAAUGGGAGGUAAAUUUCUUCUAAAGCUAAAUACCGGCCAGAGACCGAUAGCGCACAAGUAGAGUGAUCGAAAGAUGAAAAGCACUUUGGAAAGAGAGUUAAAAAGUACGUGAAAUUGUUGAAAGGGAAGCGCUUGCAGCCAGACUUGUCCGCAGUUGCUCAGCCGGUCUCUUGACCGGCGUACUCUUCUGCGGCCAGGCCAGCAUCAGUUCGGGCGGUCGGAUAAAGGUCCUGGGAAUGUAGCUCCCCUCGGGGAGUGUUAUAGCCCAGGGCGCAAUGCGGCCAGCCUGGACUGAGGAUCUCGCUUCGGCUAGGAUGCUGGCGUAAUGGCUGUAAGCGGCCCGUCUUGAAACACGGACCAAGGAGUCUAACAUCUAUGCGAGUGUUUGGGUGUCAAACCCAUGCGCGUAAUGAAAGUGAACGGAGGUGGGAACCCUCACGGGUGCACCAUCGACCGAUCCUGAUGUCUUCGGAUGGAUUUGAGUAAGAGCAUAGCUGUUGGGACCCGAAAGAUGGUGAACUAUGCCUGAAUAGGGUGAAGCCAGAGGAAACUCU